rnacentral:rRNA from 1 species
CGUCCAGCCCGCUCAGAAACUCAAGGAAUUGACGGGGCCCGCGACAAGCGGUGGAGCAUGUGGUUUAAUCGAUGAUACGCGAGGAACCUUACCUGGGCUCAAAUGUAUGUUGACGUAUUCUGAAAGGGAUACUUCUUCGGACAAUAUACAAGGUGCUGCAUGGUUGUCGUCAGCUCGUGCCGUGAGGUGUCGGGUUAAGUCCCAUAACGAGCGCAACCCCUAUCAUUAGUUGCCAUCAGGUCAAGCUGGGGACUCUAAUGAAACUGCCUACGCAAGUAGUGAGGAAGGUGGGGAUGACGUCAAAUCAGCACGGCCCUUACGUCCAGGGCUACACACGUGCUACAAUGGCCGGUACAAAGGGCAGCUACCUGGUGACAGGAUGCUAAUCUCAAAAGCCGGUCUCAGUUCGGAUCGGAGUCUGCAACCCGACUCCGUGAAGCUGGAAUCGCUAGUAAUCGCGCAUCAGCCAUGGCGCGGUGAAUACGUUCCCGGGCCUU